CUACGGGUGGCAGCAGUAGGGAAUCUUAGACAAUGGGGGAAACCCUGAUCUAGCCAUGCCGCGUGAGUGAUGAAGGCCUUAGGGUUGUAAAGCUCUUUCGCUGGGGAAGAUAAUGACGGUACCCAGUAAAGAAACCCCGGCUAAUUCCGUGCCAGCAGCCGCGGUAAUACGGAGGGGGGUUAGCGUUGUUCGGAAUUACUGGGCGUAAAGCGCGCGUAGGCGGGCUAUUAAGUCAGGGGUGAAAUCCCGGGGCUCAACCCCGGAACUGCCUUUGAUACUGGUAGUCUUGAGUUCGAGAGAGGUGAGUGGAAUUCCGGGUGUAGAGGUGAAAUUCGUAGAUAUUCGGAGGAACAUCAGUGGCGAAGGCGACUCACUGGCUCGAUACUGACGCUGAGGUGCGAAAGUGUGGGGAGCAAACAGGAUUAGAUACCCCGGUAGUC
rnacentral:rRNA from 1 species